GUAGAAGUAGCCGGAACUUGUACUUUCCCACCAAGUUUCAUAACCAAAGCACGGAAUAUGCAUUUCCAUCUGUGUAGCACUAACAUGGGAUAUGAGGCAGAGGAGACACGGAUAAGCUCAUCAGAGGAGGUGUAAACUUGAAAAGAAAGACUUGAUAACAUUUACUUUUAUCACAUUUUAGCAUCUCUUCUCCUGUGUUUUCAAAUAAAAUUGGAAUGAAGUCCGGG
rnacentral:lncRNA from 1 species